rnacentral:rRNA from 1 species
CCCCGUCAAUUCAUUUGAGUUUCAACCUUGCGGCCGUACUCCCCAGGCGGUGCGCUUACCGCGUUGGCUACGACACUGAGCGGCUAGGCCGCCCAACAUCCAGCGCACAUCGUUUACAGCGUGGACUACCAGGGUAUCUAAGCCUGUUCGCUCCCCACGCUUUCGCUCCUCAGCGUCAGGAAAGGCCCAGAGAACCGCCUUCGCCACUGGUGUUCCUCCUGAUAUCUGCGCAUUCCACCGCUCCACCAGGAAUUCCAUUCUCCCCUACCUUCCUCAAGUCAACCCGUAUCGAAAGCACGCUCAGGGUUAAGCCCCAAGAUUACACUUCCGACGCGAUCAACCACCUACGAGCCCUUUACGCCCAAUAAAUCCGGACAACGCUCGCACCCUACGUAUCACCGCGGCUGCUGGCACGUAGUUAGCCGGUGCUUCUUUACCCAUUACCGUCACUCACGCUUCGUCACAGGCGAAAGCGGUUUACAACCCGAAGGCCGUCAUCCCGCACGCGGCGUUGCUGCAUCAGGCUUCCGCCCAUUGUGCAAUAUUCCCCACUGCUGCCUCCCGUAGGAGUCUGGGCCGUAUCUCAGUCCCAAUGUGGCCGGUCACCCUCUCAGGCCGGCUACCCGUCAAAGCCUUGGUAAGCCACUACCCCACCAACAAGCUGAUAAGCCGCGAGUCCAUCCCCAACCGCCGAAACUUUCCAACCCCCACCAUGCAGCAGGAGCUCCUAUCCGGUAUUAGCCCCAGUUUCCUGAAGUUAUCCCAAAGUCAAGGGCAGGUUACUCACGUGUUACUCACCCGUUCGCCACUCGAGNACCCCACAAAAGCCAGGCCUUUCCGUUCGACUUGCAUGUGGUAAGCACGCCGCAGCGUUCGUCCUGAGCCAGAUCAAACUC